ACCUUCGGGUGUGACUGCGUACCUUUUGUAUAAUGGGUCAGCGACUUAUAUUCUGUAGCAAGGUUAACCGUAUAGGGGAGCCGCAGGGAAACCGAGUCUUAACUGGGCGUUAAGUUGCAGGGUAUAGACCCGAAACCCGGUGAUCUAGCCAUGGGCAGGUUGAAGGUUGGGUAACACUAACUGGAGGACCGAACCGACUAAUGUUGAAAAAUUAGCGGAUGACUUGUGGCUGGGGGUGAAAGGCCAAUCAAACCGGGAGAUAGCUGGUUCUCCCCGAAAGCU
rnacentral:rRNA from 1 species